ensembl:lincRNA
UCUUGCAAUCUGUUCAUUUAGUUCUUUGUUUUCUGCUUCGAGUGAUUCCAGCUUAGACGCAUCUACCUUGUACAAGUCCUCUGCAGACAAAGCCCAACACCUCCUCAGAAUCCACUCACAACGCUCUCCAGGCUUCCAGCAGCUUGGUCCCUCGCUUCCCCAAGCCACGGAGGUGGCAGAUGCUGCCUUCUGUACUGGCCAGCUUCAUUUUCCUCCUGGAAUGUCCCGUUGCCCUUAGCCUGCUUAAGCUUUCUUCCACCGCACCUGCUGCUGUUUGCCUUCAGUUCCUCACUGAAUUUCCACUCCUUUCUCCCUAACAGAAUACGA